CGCCGGUGCGUCGUACUACGUGCAGAUUAAUGUGUUGUUAGUUCGGCUUUGAUUUGUGUCCUGAAAUGAUCGAUAUGAUUCUGUUACGGAACUGCAAAUGGACUUUCUGACCAAUUUUUAUAAUUAUUGGGUUUCCCGGCUUCGCCUUCAACACUCACAUUGCGAAGUACCCGAAAAAACCGAUCACCGGUAUUCCAUCGAGCUGCACCUUCGCCUUCGCACGAAAGUUGGGUAUUAAGGGAGCGCCCUGCAUUUGCCAGGUCGUUUGUGAAGUCUUCCACACCAUAAGCAUACACUUUGAUUGCGGUCGUUAUCUCGUUUACCAGACUGGAACUCGAUGUGUCAAAAUGUACACCUGGAAAAAUAAACGCAUUAAACAUCAAACAUUUUACAACGCUUUUCCAUCACUAAGACUGGCAUCGGGGUGAUUUUCCGAGAGCUGACAACAUAAUCGGACUCUUAGGAUAGUGGAAGCUCUUGACAACACAGAUUUAUUUUAUUAUUUCAACACGAAAAUCUAUUUUUUCCUUUUUUCACAAAUUGCAGGAGUUGUUAUGCUCGAAAGUCAAAAUUACCCUAUUUAUCGGUCGGUGCUCAAGAUUCGGAAAUUUGAUUUGAACCUCAAUCAUUGAAGAUAAAAUUACAGUGUCGUAAUUUUUUAAUACAGGGUGUAUCAGAACUCACUAGCCACCGAAAUGGUGCUAGUGAUAACAGCAAUGUGGAUGUCAAAAAUGCAAAAAGUAGGUCUUUUAUUCUUCGUUUGCGAGAUACAGAGGUCUCAAAGUAACCAAUCCCAGCUUGUAUAUGCACCUUUCCGUCAGAAAGCGAGUUCUAAUACAAACUGUAUGUAGAUAAUUUAGUUCUCUUCAACAUUGUUUCUGUCUUAAACCGUAGUCCUUCCAUUUUUAAAAAUAUAAGAUAUAAUACAAAAUAUACUUUUUAAAAAAAUUCAA